rnacentral:rRNA from 1 species
UACGUAGGGGGCAAGCGUUGUCCGGAUUUACUGGGUGUAAAGGGCGCGUAGGCGGAUUUGUAAGUCGGUGGUGAAAUCCUGCAGCUUAACUGCAGAACUGCCGCCGAUACUGCAUAUCUUGAGUUCGGAAGAGAGAAGCGGAAUUCCAGGUGUAGUAGUGAAAUACGUAGAUAUCUGGAAGAACACCAGUGGCGAAGGCGGCUUCUUGGUCCGUAACUGACGCUGAGGCGCGAAAGCGUGGGGAG